rnacentral:rRNA from 1 species
CAGUAGCCGCGGGAAUACGAAGGGUGCAAGCGUUACUCGGAAUUACUGGGCGUAAAGCGUGCGUAGGUGGUGGUUUAAGUCCGUUGUGAAAGCCCAGGGCUCAACCUGGGAAUUGCAGUGGAUACUGGGUCACUAGAGUGUGGUAGAGGAUAGUGGAAUUUCCGGUGUAGCAGUGAAAUGCGUAGAGAUCGGAAGGAACAUCUGUGGCGAAGGCGACUAUCUGGGCCAACACUGACACUGAGGCACGAAAGCGUGGGGAGCAAACAGGAUUAGAUACCCCCGUAGUCCCUGUCUCUUAUAC